rnacentral:rRNA from 1 species
GACGAACGCUGGCUGCGUGCUUAACACAUGCAAGUCGAACGGUAAGGCCCUUCGGGGUACACGAGUGGCGAACGGGUGAGUAACACGUGGGUGAUCUACCCUGCACUUCGGGAUAAGCCUGGGAAGCUGGGUCUAAUACUGGAUAGGACCCUGGGGGGGAUGUCCUGGGGUGGAAAGCUUUUGCGGUGUGGGAUGGGCCCCCGGCCCAUCAGCUUGGUGGUGGGGUGAUGGCCUACCAAGGCGUCGACGGGUAGCCGGCCUGAGCGGGUGAACGGCCACACUGGGACUGAGAUACGGCCCAGACUCCUACGGGAGGCAGCAGUGGGGAAUAUUGCACAAUGGGCGCAAGCCUGAUGCAGCGACGCCGCGUGAGGGAUGACGGCCUUCGGGUUGUAAACCUCUUUCAGCACCGACGAAGCGCAAGUGACGGUAGGUGCAGAAGAAGGACCGGCCAACUACGUGCCAGCCGCCGCAGUAA